rnacentral:rRNA from 1 species
UACGGAGGGUGCAAGCGUUAUCCGGAUUCACUGGGUUUAAAGGGUGCGUAGGUGGGUUGGUAAGUCAGUGGUGAAAUCCCCGAGCUUAACUUGGGAACUGCCAUUGAUACUAUCAGUCUUGAAUACUGUGGAGGUUAGCGGAAUAUGUCAUGUAGCGGUGAAAUGCUUAGAUAUGACAUAGAACACCAAUUGCGAAGGCAGCUGGCUACACAUAUAUUGACACUGAGGCUCGAAAGCGUGGGGAUCAAACAGG